rnacentral:tRNA from 1 species
GUUUCUGUAGUGUAGUGGUUUAUCACGUUUGCCAAACACGCGAAAGGUCCCCGGUUCGAAACCGGGCAGAAACU